GGUGGGGGUGGGGGUGUGGUGUGGUGGGGUGUCACAUGGGUAGUGGGAGUGUGGUGUGACAUAGUGGGGGAGUGGCGUGGUGGGGAGUGUGGUGGGACAUAGUGGGAGUGUGGAGUGGUAUAGUAGGGGUUGGUGUGGCAGGGGCCUGGUGUUGCAGAGCUUGACAUAGCAGUGGGCAGAUCUUGAAGUGGCGAGGGUAUAUGAUGUGACGUAGUGGGGGAGUGACAGAGUGCAACCAGGGGAUGGGGAACAUGGCAUGGGGUGUGGCAGGGCACAGUAGGGGCAUGGCAAAGGCGUGGUAUGGUGGGGGCUUGGUGGGUGUGGCAUAGGUGUGACAUGGUAGGCGUGGCACAGUGGGGUGGUGGCAGGUGUGGCAAGGGUAUGACACAGUAGGCGUGGCAUAGUGGGGGCUUGGGGGUGUGGCAAGGGUGUGACCUAGGUGUGGCACGGUGGGGACAUAGCAGGUGUGGAGUGGGUGUGACAUGGCAGGUGUGGCAGGUGCAGAAGGAUCGUGGCAUAGUGGGCCUGUGGCAGGUGUGUCACAGGGCAUGCCUCACGGAGGAGACAGCUGAGGUGCAGGGGCAGGGCUGGGUGGCGCCCUCCUUUCCUCUCUCUCUGCUGUAGCAUCUCAGCUCUCCCAACUGUGGUCCUGCCUGAGAAGCCUCCAGGGGAGGAAAGGACCCAGUGCUUGCCUGGGAGAGGAGACCUUUGAUUUGCCGAAGAGCUUUUUACCACCUGACAAGGAAAGUGGCCCCAGCACGCAUAGAUCUUUAGCCCGAGAUUCUGAAAAAAGAAAAGAAAAUCAAGGACCUACUGACAGAUGGUUCAAAAUCCUGCUCGGAGUCUGUGAGCACGUUGAACUUUCGGUCAACGAGCACUGAUGGUCUUUCCUGGUGCCCUAAGAAACUGCAUUUCAACAGGAGAGAUGGGCCAGAACGCCGGUGCCCAAGGACCCCUCAGCUGCCGUUGGUGUUGGUGUCAGAGAUGACAGAAUUUCUCUGCGAAGAAAACGGACUGCCUGACGCUGUGAUACGGGAAUCAACGCAAACGCACGGCACAUACUUGGAGUUCAUGUGACGUUUUCUUUUGAAAGCGAUACGUGGUGCCUAAUAAAGGCCUAUUCAUUUGGGAAGACACA